rnacentral:sRNA from 1 species
AUUUUUGGUAUAAUAUCAUUUAGCAAAUUGGAUAGAUGGUGGCUAUCUCAGUAUAAAGUGAGGUGAUGCGUAUGUACGUAUCUACAAAAUCUUUAGAAAGGAGAAGCCUUUUGUGGUAACGUUUGUUGAUGUCUUACAUCUCAUGUUUAGUUUUGGUAUGUUUAUACUGGCUCUCAUA